CAUACUAUCUAUCCCCUGGUUGAUCACACACAUGUUGGAGAGCUUGUACAAGUUUGAAGUGUGACUGUGACCUAUCCCCCAGAGACUCGUGUGUUUGAACAACAGUACCAGCUGUUUCCUAGCAACGGGUACUGUUUAGAAACAUUAGAAGGGAGAGCCUCGUUGGAGGAAGUGGGUCACUCAGGAGCAGGUCCUAGAGGUCCUAGUCUGGCCCAGCUUCCUUCAGGAACUCUUUCUGCCUCCUGGUGACACACAAGGUGACCAACGGUCUCACACACUCCAGCCACCACAGAACAGCCCGCCAGAUUCUUUCACCCGUAUGACAGCUGGUACACCCUCAAACUGUGAGCCAAAAGGAAGCCCCUCCUCCCCUCAUUUGCUACUAAUCAGAUAUUUGGCAGUGAUGAUUUUUAAAAAAUAGCUAAUACAGUAUUGAUAUUACAACACAACUUACUUGGAAAUGCUCCGGAAAAUAGUAUGGAUACACAGACAAGGGGUGACGAUAUCACAUCACAAAACAAAUACCGUAAAAAUUGGUGGUCCAGACUACCGUACUUUCUCCCUGCCGCCAGGACACGGUAUUCCCGCUCAUCAGUUGGAUCUCAGGUCAGACAUUCUCAGGGAGACCUUCCCUAACUCUUCGACCGGAAGUGACCUUCUGCCGUGCUUUCGAGAUUGGCUGUUAUUGCAUCAUUCUCUCAUCAGCAGUAACUGAUGUGAAGGUGUGAAACAAGCACUUCUAGACAACUGGUUGGAUAUGGGAAGCCUGAAGCUACCUGGAGGAGGAUAAUCAUGCGUGGAGGGCCUGAGGAGAAGACACGGAACACAUGAUUCAAGCACAUGGUGGGCCAGAGAAGCCGUCAUAAAGAUAAGUUGUGUCUUUGGCCAAAGGGUUUUUUAAAUAAUAAUUAUUAUUAUUAAUAGUAAUUAUUAUUAUCAUUACUAUUAUUAUUAUUAUUAUUAUUAUUAUUAUUAUUAUUAUUACAGAGGUCUUCUAUCUGCUAGGCAAACACGCUCAUUGAGCUACACCUAAGCUCAGCUAAUGAGACACCAUUGGAAAGGCAAUCUCCUCCCUGCUGUACCACAGCAUCUGUUGUAACAUAACCCAGAGGUGGCAGCUUCAGGUAACCAGUUAUCCAAGGACCCAUCAAAGUCUAUGGCCAUAUCUCCCCGAAUGUUCCCUACUUCAUCUAAACCCGUGGUGCUUCAUCACAAACUUGGUACUUCAUGUCCAGAUAGUGCAUAGGUUCCAUUUAUGAAAUCUAAGAACAGUAUCAGUCUUGCAAAAAACUUUAAAAAAUUCAUGUGAAUGAUCACCCCACCCACCACCUCAUCACAGGAUAUAUAGAAAAAGGUCAAGUAGCUGGCAUCCAUGACAGGGUAGUUCUUUGCUUCCUGUUUAGGCCAUUACAGGAUAGCAAUGGAGGGCAGGAUGGUAUGAGGGAGCCUGGAGCUAAACUGAGUCAAAUUAAGAUCGGCUCCUAUGUGACCUUGGGCGGACCACGUAAUCUCUGUGCAUUUCACAUCAGUGACCAGAGACACUGGUAGUAAGUGCUCCAAGGACGCCAUGCACACUCAAGGCUCUGGCAGCUCUUAGCUCCUGUGGAUGAGUUGACCUUGUCUUAUCUGAGUACCUCCAGCUCAGGGGUUUUUGUUGAACUGGAUAAAACUGGAAUUCUGUAUGCUCUGAUACCUGCCACAACCUGUCUUGCCAGAAUCUCCUUUUCUGAGAUAACAGAACGCCCCCAAAGCUGAAACGUCUCCCAAAGCUUAGAUAAUCCCGUGUCCUGAGCCAGACACAGCAGCAGAAUUUGGCCAAUGCCUCUCCAGUCUGUUAACACCAUUGCAGGGAUCUUCAGGCAUCAGGCAUCACCAAGCAAACACAGAACCAGAGUCCUUCCAGACUGGAAAGUGUGUUAAUGGUCUCAAAGGGGUCAGACAUCAGGCAUCACCAAGAAAACACAGAACCAGAGUCCUUCCAGACUGGAAAGUAUGUUAAUGGUCACAAAGAGGCCAUGUUCCUUCCCCAAACCCAAACUGCAGAAACGUCCAGGAUGUGUUUUGGGUGCUGAGAAUUCCAGGUGACGCACAGUACCUGUAAGUGAUCCUCACUUCUGUCCCAGGUUCAUCUCUCUCCCAAAUCAAAGCUAUGGUGUCGGGAGACUUCUGCACGUGCUGGUCCAGGCAGUUGACUAUGCAAAGAAAAGUUAACAGAUGUUAUUCCAGAUGCUGGAUAAGAUGCUCGAUCUGCUUUGGUUUGCUAUUCCUACAGAGCAGGGUCUCCUCCCUGUCAGGGAAGAGUGACUACCACAACUGCAGAGAACAGAGACAACCACUACAAACACGAUCUGUCUACAAGGUGACCUUCCACACAGACUCUGAGGUAGUCACAUCAUUCCAGUGGUCUCCACACUGGAUACGUAUGACAUCAACAGCCAAGAGUCUAUGUUAGAAGUACUAAACUACACAUGCCUUUCAAGAAAGUUCUCUCCUCCCCCUCCAUUACCCAAGCUCAGCUCACAUGACUUGCUGGGAAAAGCGCAAGGUCAGUAGGCUUGUUUGCUAUAAACCUGAGGAUUAGUGGGUUCAGUUAUGCUGACAUCCUGUUCACUGAUCAUCUAAUUUUAAAGGUGAGAUUAACUCAGGCCAGUUCAUGCAAUGCCAGCUUCUACCCAAGCAUAUUCCCUCCAGUGGCCUCCAGAUAAUUUGGAGGAAAUCUUCUUAGGUGGACCACGGCGGAUGUCACAUAACAUUCGUUCAACAGAACAUUGGGGCUAAAGUUACCUAGACAAGACACCCCCACACACACUCACAGAAGCUAAGAGCAACUUGGCAUAGAAACAGUAACAAUCAGAGCCUGGGUAUGAACAGCACUCUUGGGGACCCACUACCACCAUCUCCCAUCCCCUGGUGGUAAGUGCAGAGAUUAAUCAGCUGAAGGUCACACAGUAACAGAUUUGACUCAGACUAGCUCCAGAUCCCUCACACGGCCCUCCACUCUCCCUGAAAGGGUGCAAACAGGCAGCCAAGAACUGCUUUGUUCAGCAGGUGGAAGAAAGCUAAGCCCGAUCGGUGGCAAAGGGGAGAGGAGAUAUAAAGAGGUGUGGUCCACAGACAGAAGAAACUUAGAACUGUGCAGACCGGGGAAGCGAGCAGGCAGCCAAGGAUAGGCAGACCCUACAGAGAAUAGAAAAACAGGGUUGUUGGUGAAGAAAGUAGCAAGCUAGUGUCACAAAUGUCAGCUGAAUGUGCUGCCAGGCUAUCUAGCUUACUGGUGUAGCGAGUGUGUGUGUGUGUGUGUGUGUGUGUGUGUGUGUGUGUGUGUGUGUGUGUGUACACAAAUGCCCAAACAGCAAGAAUUUUCAUUCUAAAAUACGGCUUGUCAGCUGUCAGCAAAGAGGUCAGCCCUUGGCACAGGGCCAUGUCCCCAGCAGCCUGGUCAUGGAGGUGACUCUGAACUGGUCAUGACAAGUUAUCACCAGAGAAUCACUGCUACGGAAAGCUGUGAAAGAAAACCAGGACAGGACUGGUUAAAAGCAGGAAGUAUGGGCUGUUCUGGACACCUGGGAACUAGUGAUAAAUUCAAGUCCUUCGGUCACCUAUAUAAGCCAAGGAGCCACAGGAGACGUGUGCCUGUAUUCUCCCCCAGGAAACGCCUGCUCUAACCCACCCUGACUUUUGAAGAACGAAUUGGGUCAGAUGCAGCAGGAAGCAGCAUUACAGAAAUCCUGGUGUCAGGGUAGACCCACCCAAACUCAAGUCGUGAAGCUACAAGAGGGGCUGAAACCCCACAGAAUAUCACCUGCUCCCAUGAAUAUCACCAGCGUACCGGGCAUCCUUCUUCCCCGGAGAAUGACUGACUCUAAACAGAGACCCUCAGCAGCACACAGCCCAGCAAGGUAUCCUGCCUGCUUUAUACCAAGAAGGAAGGCAGACUGAGACAGGAGAAGACAAAGGCCAGGCACAGGGAAAGCAUCAUGGUAUAGCUUGGUGGUCCCAUGCGUCCACCUCUUCCUGGGGCCGAGAGAUGGCACAAAUCUAAGCAGCCCAGAAUAGAUUCUCAAAUCUAAUGUUCCCCAGAGGCUUCCCACACAGGGGAGAUGCUGGAUAAUUGGCUACCAAGGCCCCUCUCCCUGCUGGAUAGCCCAGGCCCAAAAAACUACCUCUGCUCCAGGGUCUUUGCAUUGGUUUUCCCUGCCUGACACUGCCACCCCUCCUGUCCAUGCUACAUAUCUCAGCCUUUAUCUCUCUCAUCAUACAUGUUCUUGUCUAUGAAGCCCAUGCUUCUCACCCUCAAGUGGUAUCGUAAUCCCCAAAGAACGUGUUAGCACGUAGAAACCUAGGCCCCGUGAAGUGCGCCAGCCCCUGGCAGAGACUAUGCAUUUGAGGCAAACAGUCCUGCUGCAGCCUGCCUUGGAACCACACAGCGGCAGACUCAUGUGUGUUUAACACGUGCACCCACUGUAUGUGAAGCUUCGGGACUUUGUGGGGAUUCCAUUUCUUUCUCUUCCUGGUGGGGGUGGGGGUAAUAAAGGUAUUUGAUAGCCCUAUGUGACACCUGGCUCUACCUUAUUGGCUGGCAGCCUGCAACUGCCUAAAAAAAUCCACAGGUCUGGCUCAGGCCAGCCACCCACUAAGGACAGACGAUGCCCUUGUCAUUUACUUUAAGUCUUAGCUUUUUAAUCCACGGGGAAGUAUACGAAUCCCUGACUCUGGGUGAGGUUAAGAAUUAGCUGCCCCCCAGUGUGUCAUAAGGUUGGGACAGAGGAUGUCACAGUGUCCCCAAGGAACAUGGCAACAGAAUAAUCCCAUUCCUCAGAGCCAUCACCCUAUGGGUCCUGGCAGAACCAAGGACCUACAAUUCGAUGUUUUUAGCAACUACUUCUAUUCCUCCUGCUGCUUCAGCUACAGGGAAAGGCAGGGAAGGUUAGGGAGAGGAAGGAAGACCCAGAGGAUACUCUGCCCGCACAUACAAAGUCUCGACAUGUAAAAGAAAAAGUAACUCAACCCAAACAAUGGGAAGUGAGACUAGAACACUCCACCUUCAAGCAUUUUCAGGAAGAGUUGGGCAGGAUCCAACACAACUGAAGGCAGAACUCAUGACCCACCUCCUACUUUAAGCCUUCCAAGUCCCCAGCAUACAGCGAGCCUCUGUCCUCCCAACCUCUCCAACCUCUCGGUUGGCCUACCCCAUGUAACACUUCCUUCUUCUGCCCAGGAUUCCCCAUUCUGGGGCACAGUGCUCCCUCCCCACUCUCUGGGUCCCAAGGGUCAUAAGGUUCCUUUCUCAUGGGGACUGGUGGAGGGCCACAGAUCUUCAUCUGCCCCAGGGAAACCUUGAGCACAUCACCCCAGUACAGAUGUUUACUGUGUUAAAUAAAACUUACAUGAGACCACUGUUUUGAUCUAAGCUCUAGCACAGGCCAGACUAAAAGUCAAAGAGGAAUUGUUCAUGCUAGAGCUCCUAUCACCAAGCUGAAACAUAGCUGUUUACCAGACCUUUGGAGAAAUCAAGAUCAGAGGCACAGAAGUUGAAACCAAGCCUUCAUGCGUCUUGUGGUGAAGUUCUCCCUCCUUUAUGCAUAUACAGAAAGGGAAAGACACAGGCUUCGUGAGCUAGCUGUCAGUUGUUUUCAUAUUGACCAGUCUCCCUGCCACUACCUUUCAGGGAUGUGGCUGAAACAGCCAAUCAGUUUUCUGAUCUCUAUUGUGAUUUACCAGCCCUUCUAUGGCUAUAAAAGCCAGCUUUCAAUAUGUGAUAUACUUUAUGACACUAAGUGUUGUCCAAUUGACCAUGUCAAUGCACAUCAUGGUAUUUCUUCCAAUGGUGGAUGGAUUUGUAAUCUAUCUCUUUGUGUCACUCAGGUGCUACUCAGUGGGCAUUUCCCACUGUUUUUGUGGUUGGCCUUUUGUGUCUCCAUCUAUACAACAAGACACAAACCAUUCCAUGUUCGCAUCAUUUAGAGUAGGAAAUGGCCCUUAAAAACAGGGUGCCUGCUCAGCCAUGGGUUCUUCUCAGUGACUGUAGCACACAGUAGCCCAGCCCAGAUCCUAACACAGUCUUAGGAGCAGUUACAGUAAUGCUUAUUAGUGGAUAAGAGAUUUUUAAUGCUAUUAACAACAAACACACACACACACACACAAACACAAACACACACACACAAUUAUAGAAGUUGUUACUUCUAUUACAGAGAUGACACAUGAUAAUGUAGGAACUUUCAAACUCCCCACCCCCCAACCCUACAGCACUAGGAAUGGAAUGCAGAGUUUCCUACACGCUAAGUAAGUGCAUAACUACUAAGCCACACCCCUGAUCCAAAGGCUCUGAUUGGUUGCUUAGAUACACACACACCCCCAUACCCAGCUCAGCACACAAAGCUUCAAGCAUCAUGAAAAGAAACUGGGGUUAGUAAGCACAUGAGGGCUCACAAUGGCUUUCUUUAAAUAGCAAAUUUCCCUGGCACAUUGCGAGAACUUUCACUGUAUUUGCCAACUUUCCAGAAGCAGCUGCUAUUUAAAGCAAGUCAUGCUUCUGACGACUGAGAAGAAUCCAGAGUCUUCCUGAAGUUCUGCCUCGUGAAACUGGAGCUGCGUUUUCAUUUGGAGUUCCUUAAAAGGCUUCGACAAGCUUUAUCUACUGUCAUCUCAGCUCCAGUCUUGUCUCUGAGUCAUGGCCAUCGAGGAAAGAGCAUCGGCAGCAUGACUUCUGUUUGUGCAGUGCUCCCCGGGCAUCUAGAGAGCCUUGGGUGGCACUCAGUGUCAGAGCACCAACCUAGCCCAUGUGAGACCCUGUGCUCCAUUCCCAAAAGAAAAAAAAAACAAAAACAGACAAACAAAACAGCCAGGAAGUCUCUCAGUGUUCGAUGGAUAGUUAAAGUUAAAACUAGUUUCUUUAAGCCAAGCCUGGUGGUAAUAGGCCUUUAAUCCCAGUAUUGGGAGGCAGAGGCAGAUGGAUCUCUUUGCAUUCCAGAACAGCGUGGUCUUCAUAGUAGACCUGAGACUUACUGCUGAGUAAGCUCACACUUCCUAGCUCUUUCUGAGCUCUGGCUGGCUGGCUCAACUCUAGCUCGAACUCUUUUCCAAGAUGACCGACUCAAUCUGGCUUCUCUCAGUUUCUAACUGAAUUGCUCUGUUUGGCCUCAUACUAACUUUAGCAAGAUGUUCAAAUCUUCUGGCUCCUUCUCAUUCUCUGGCUUGUUACGUCUUCGCCUAGGUCUAGGGUGUUAUCUCUCUGCACCCUGUCACUGUACAACAGUCCUGGUAAAACUGCCUCCCUCCCUCUUCACCCCUCCCCUCUCUGCACUGCUGUCUUAAGUAGCUUCCCUUUCUUCUCUCUUCUCAUGAGAGCUGGACAUAUCCUAUUCUGUCCAAUCUUUCUCUAUUCCAGCCAGAGGGAGUGUGCUAAGGGCUGAGCCACACCAGGACUAGAAAAGGGUGUUGUUGUUGUUGUUGUUGUUUUGUUUUGUUUUGUUGUUGUUGCUGCUGCUGCUGCUGUUGUUUUUAGUAAAUAACACAAUCUCAGAAUUCUCAGUGUGACCAAACAUCCUGCAGCAGGGUCUGUUUCAGAUGGACACAAUACUCAGCAGCACGCCUGAAGGACAAAUCAAGGUCACUCGUUCCCCAAAUGCUUCAUUAAUAAUUAACAGCCAAGGGUGGUUAGGACUGCACUGUGCUAAGAACAGUGUCAAGAGCUUUAAUCUCACCUAAUCCUAACAAGAGCCCUAACCGGGUGUUCUGACUGGCAACAACAGUAACUAAGUACCCUCCCUACCCCAAACAGGCUGCUCAGAGGGAGCCUUAAUUUCUACAUGAGUCUCUUGACUACAGAACCUUCCGGGAACCUAGCCAUUAUACUGUGAGACACUCUGUGCGGUUUUCGGGACAAAUUUCACUUAUCACAACUGUAGGAUCCGUUCUCAGGAACCUCGAUGAAAUAACAAAAGUUAGCUAUUUUUACAAAGAAAAACAAUUAUUUAGCUCAUCUCUCUGGAUGUUCAAAGGCUUACAUGUUAAUGUUGCAUAGGUAAUGUUUCUUACCAAGAGUGUCCUAAGAAGAUACAGAGCAUCAUAUGACACAAGACAUCCAUUAUCUCUUCUGGCCACUCCCUCUUAUAAAACACCAAGAUUAGAACCUUUUAUCUCAGCCCUUACAACCUCUCCCAAUCCUAGUCACCUCCGUCAUAAUAACUGACAAGGGGACUUUACUGAGGAGCUCAGGGGAUGAACCAAAUUCUAAGGAUAGCACCACUCAGGCCCCAGCCAAAGAAGUGAGAAACAGGCAGAUGACUCCCACUUGAGACACCAGGAAAGGGGAGAGAGCUGACCCCAUGGGCCCUGUCCAGAGUCCUGACCUAAGACCUCAGAGGGCAAUAAAAUGGUCAUUAUCCUGCUGCACUGCUAAAUUAGAGUGUGGAACAACGGAACUACAACAGUGUUCCAGGACACACUGCUCUUUCGUUCAAAUAUAAGGAAACAAGGCAAGCACAAGGCAGUAAGAAUUAAGACCUCGGUGUAGCUCAAAAGGCCCAGCUGAAACCACAAACCCGCUGUACCAAGCACCUGCAGGGCUUGUCAGUCACAGCUGGGAGAUGCCCAGCCACCCGGUUUUUUUUUUUUUUUUUUUUUUUUGGUUCUUUUUUUCCCGGAGCUGGGGACCGAACCCAGGGCCUUGCGCUUCCUAAGCAAGCGCUCUACCACUGAGCUAAAUCCCCAACCCCCAGCCACCCGGUUUUUAAACCGAAGAGUCUAGAGUGGGGCCCCGAAUUUACAUUUCUAAAAGCUUCGUGGUCCAGCAGCAUUGGUCUGGACCUUUGAGAAGCAUUCAUCUAAAGAUCACUGAAAGGAUAACAGUGUCACUCAGUUUUUUGGAACACUUUGUCAUCAUCACACCUGACAAACAGAUCGGUCCCAGAUCAACCACUUAACAACUUUCUAAGUGGCUCCCCGGGCAGCUGCAGUCUGUCCCUUUUCACACUGUAACCUCUGGGGGUUGUAGAAAGGGGCAAAGGGCAGAGAUGACACUGACAGACAGAAAGCCAGGCCUUUGGAGAAGUUGCUUUCUCGAAUGUCAGUUUGGUGAAGUUCAGCCUCAGGCUCGCACAGCUCCAAAGGUAGAAGAACAGAGGCCAAAGAAUUCCUAGAAGACCACACCCAGGCCUCACCAUAAGGUUGAUAGCACUCCUUAUCAGCUACAAGCUUGGUUGUCCCAGUGGCCUUGACCUCUUGAGCAUGGAGAGGUUUCCAAAGAAGCCACACACGGUCCGCCCCUCUUCCUUCUGCAAACUGCUUUACUCACUUGAAAGGCACAUUCUGCAAACGCAAGAACUUCUUAACCCAAGUUCAAGAAUUUGCUGACUCAAGUCUAAAGGCAACAUUUAUCUAGUAAGAGUCUCAUUUAGAUGACACUUGCCGAGUAAUAUACAGUGUGGGGAGAAAAUGACUGGUACAAAGUUUAUUUAAAGUUUUGUGCUAAAAAAAAAGACUAAUUUUUGAAUAUAGUAAAUUGGAAUUGCUGCAGCUUAUUGAUUAGUCUGGAUAGGUUUGGUUUCUCCCGGCCCUGUGGCACAGCCAGCAUAAGAAGGGAACACUGUUGUAAAAUGGGGAGGCUGAGAUGUGCCAACGUUGAAUAAGGGAUAGGGAAACUGCAGACACCAGAUUCCACGUCUAACUUUAGUCCUUAAACAAAGCCUCUUGCCUCAUCUUGAGGGCCUUCAGCUCCUUUCUUAGGCAUCUCUGACCCACCCAACCCUCACUCCCACCCCACUGGAAGGCAGAAGUUCCCAGCUCCCUGCUGCGCACCCGAGGCUCAGCCUCCCAGUUCUCCCGCGAUGGACUUCAGUGCCUCAGUGAGUAAUGUAUGUCCCUGCCUCCAACCUUAGCAGAAUUCGGGCUCAUCAGAAAACCGACAGCUAGAGUGAUUGAUGUGUCUCAUUUGGAGAUCUGCGAGGAGGCUAGGACAUAGUCCACGCUGGCCUUGAGUUAAGCUCCUCUUGACUCAGACUCCAGAGAGCUGGGGUUACCUGCCCUCGCCACUGUAGACAUUUGUUUUUGGGGUGCAGUUCUUAGACCCAGAACUUCCUGCCCACACGCCCCUACGGGAGGAGAUAACCAGUUCCCUCCCAGGGGCUGGUGCUUUCUUCUUCCUGCACCCACCAAGGCUCUGUUUACACAGCAGGGUUUGUCCUCGGGGGAGCCGUGAGUCCUAGCGCCGCAGCUGCUGGUAGCAACCUACCUGCUAAUCUGCGGUCCCCUGAGCGGAAAAGCCUGUGCUCUCUCCACCUCGGCCUAUCUGGUUCGUUAGCUUUGUGCCCACCAUGCUGGGGAUCCUCAAGACUAAAAUCUGAAGGCAAAGCCCCCCCAGAAUCUGCGUUAGGGUAGACCAUUCUGAGGUCAAACCGAGUAUUCUCAGUUUCCCGCUAGAGACAGCGCUGCAGAUUUGGGCGCGUAACUGCUGCUUGGCCAGUUGCACUCUCUGGACCCGGUGGGAUACAGAACAAAGUGACGUGGCACAGGGAUUAGAGUGGGUGGUGAAGCAUUCUGGAGAAAAGGGCCAAGGCCUGGGGGCAGCUGCUACUGACUAGGGCCUCCGGAGUCUCCGCGAAACUGAGCUGGUCCCAGCAACGCACUCACCAGACACAUUCAACUGGCCUCCCAGGAACCAGCCGAUCUUGCCCGUCCUGAAGUCGCAGUCCCAGACAGUAUGGUAAGGAGUGUCCCAAACUAGUGUGUCACGGGCCAGCGGUCCCCAGAAGGCGGCCGGCUCCUGGGCUGCCUGAGCGCUCAAAGCGGGGUACGAGCCUAGCUGCGCUGCUGCAGGAACACUGCCCAGGAAUCGGGUGGUGGUCCAGCGGGACAGGCUCAGCAACCACCCCGAUUGUCCCGAGUGCCCGUGCAGGCCACGCAGCAGUCGCCCCACACCGCUGCCGAGGCUGCGCGCCGCCAUCUCGCCCGACGCCCCACGCGGGUGCAGGAGCCAGGGCGCCCCUAAGAGUCUCCACGGCCCCGCCCAGGCUCCGCCCCCGCGGCCACCACCCACUACUUCUCUCCGCGAAGCAGCUUCCUUGAGCCUGCCCCUUCCCACCUCUUCUCCCCGCCAGGACUGGGGCGCGGGGAGAGGGGUGGGGUUAGGUUUUGUUAUGCCCCCCCCCGUCCCGGGCUAGCCCGCGCUCUCGGCUUCAGUUUCCUGCGUUUCUGCGAUCGCUGUUCACAGACCAGAUAACUUUCCCGCUUGCGACAAAAGCUGCAAGUACACGGGUGUCCUAGCCUCCGGACCUGGGAUGCAGGCAGCACUCUGAGAUAGGAUAAAUAGAUUGGGAACGCGGCUAAGUGGUCAUAAGAGCGAAGCUCACAGAUGCUGUGGAUGAACCGCCGUUGGUUCAGCAUUCCAUAGAUUGAAGUCAAAGCUUUCCUCCUUAGAGAUUAAAGGGCUUCUGAAAGUUAAGCCCUGUCCCAAUGGUGCGGGCCUGUACAACCAUGCCACGGACACAUAACUCCCCUGUGGAGGGCUAAAGGGCUGUUGAACAAGCCCGGAGGCCUUCAAACAGGGAAGGAGGUGCUGCUGUGAAGGCCUGAGUCCCGUAACAAUAUUUUUGUUACCCAGCUGCUAACCUCUGCCGGGGCAGGGAAGCUAUGGUUAAAGAAUAAAUCAAUGUCCACAGCACAUCUGGCCUGGUUGACCAUGAGCUCCAGCGCCGUCAAGAAGUUGACGUUUUUUGUUAUUGAAUAAUCAGGAGUAAAAGGAAACGUGUCUCUACCAAGUACUUAAGAAGUGAAUACGUAAUGAAAAAUAAACACUAGAGGUCGGGGAUUUUUGGAAAACUGGUUUGUGGAGUUCUUUGGGCUGGCAAAAGACUUUUUCCUGUUGGCUGUGGCAGUUGCAGAUAGGUAGGGAUACUGUGGGUGAGCCGCUGAGGAGGAAGGGCUAAAAAGGCGGUGACAACAGCAAGCAAGGUCAUAUGCCCCGCCCUCAGCCAAGCACCGUCAUUAAUUUAAAAGUUAGGUAGGUCGGGCACAGUGGUGCACCUCUAGGUGCCUCUAGCUAUUCAGGAGUCUGAGGCAAAAGUCACACCCUGGAGACAGACGAUGAGUUUGAGAGUAGCCUGAACAGCAUUGCUAGUCUCCACCUUAAGAAACCAAACCAAACCCAAAGCUUGGCUAGGGCCAGAAACAAAACAACAUAAAACAAAAGGUUACAUAGUGCUAGAAUAAAUAAGGAAGCAACCGAACUAAUGAAAAGAGACUUAUAGAAGAGCACAUGGCUGUCUAGUGGAAGAGGAAGCCUAGCACCCAGCACCCCCAACUAUUACCUUCAGAGCCCUCUUUUCGUCGAACAUAUAAAGUUAUAAGAGAAAGAGCAGGCUUGGCUAGCAGGUCUGAGAGAUGCCCAUCAACACUUCCUCCUCUAGCGUGUACUUGGAAUUUCCUGCUCCAUCAACACAAGGAGGCUGAGCUGAAGGUGUGGCUGCCGAGCUGAGGGUGUGGCUCAGAGACAAAACACCUGCCUGGCAUGCACAGGCCCUGAGUUCUAGUGCCAGCACACAUAACCCUCUAAAAGAGAAUGAGGAUCCAGCCUUCCUCCCCUCAUGUCUGGGUUGACCUCCUAGCUUUAUCCCAGAGGACCUGGAAGACGUGAUGCUUGCACAGUCUUUGGCUAAAUGCCGAGGCUAUGUUGAGGGAAGCCUGAGAGCUGCUGCUUUUUUGGUUGGUUGUUUCCCAUGAUGCCAUGGUGUGAAGGAGUUGGUCCUGCCUUCUGGAGACAAUGAGCACACAGACAGAAUGAGUUGCACCAGCCCAUAACCAGGAACAGCCCUGGACAGAGGUGCAUCCAACCCUGGAUGCUCUAUACCAGGUAUGGGAGCCUUGCCCUUGGCACAGAAGAUCUUCCUAGCGAUUUGCAAGGUUGGAAGAAGUUUCAAAUAGUCUUAACUUUAUCGCUCAGCCGUAGCUAGCUGGCACAAGAACUGCUCCUAAAACGUGAGGCCCUCCCUUUACCAGUUCCUACAUCUCAUCCCCUGCAUGGGUUGUGUUUCUCUUCUUGCCUUCAAAGUGCUAGAGCGUCAGUUCUCUCAGACGUUUCCCUCCAGGUCCCUGGAGACAAGGGUUAGCAUUCAUCCUCUGACUUUCAAGCUGGAACCUGUAACCGGAACCUUUCCUCCAGUUUCAUAUUCAAACACUAGGUUUAAGUUUUGGUUUUCUGAAGAAGCACCAGCCUCAGACUUGAAUGACCUUGAACUUCUAAUCCUCCCCCCUCCCUGCACUUCUUGUGUAUCACACAGAAAUGUCACCAUACUUUGUAUAUGGGGUGUUGGGAACCGAACCUAUGGUUUCAAGCAUUCUAGGCAAAUACUCUACCAACUGAGUGCAUCUCAGCGCCUACUCAAAUGUCUACUCAACCUCUCAAGCUGUCACAUCCUGAAACCUCUUUCCCAAACACUGGCCUUCCAGAUUAGACAAAGAGAAUAUAUUUUCUCACUGUUCAAGGGGCACAUGUCCUUGUCAUUCUAGACUCUUCUCUCACACAUGAUACUAGCAACCUAUCAGCAAGUGCCCCAGGAUGAUCUUCAGAAUAAUACCCCUCCCCUUCCUGCUGCCACUCAUCCCCCAUCUGAACCACACUCGGCUUUUAAAAAAAUUAUUCAACGGGCGUGUAAUUGGGUCCAUCCUUUUCUUCUAUGGCCUAAUCAGACCAUGCAGCUUCUUUAAAAGUCAAGGUUAAGGGCUACAGCUGUCCGCAGCCGUGGCUCAGUGGUACAGCUGCAUGCUCGAGGCCCUGGGUUCCAUCCCCAGCAUCAGGGAGAAAAAGUAAGAAAGAAAAGUAGGGUAGGAAAAGAAAACAGAGAUCAGAUGAGGUCUGUCUGCACUCAGAACAAGCCAGUGUUUCCUCCGUUCCAUUCUUCCCAAGUACCCUAACCCCUAAGGCUCAUCCUUCACAAGGGAAGAGCUGUCCAUGGACUUUACAUUGCACACAUCUUCCAGACUGCUGAGCCCCAUUACAGGCUUUGUGCUUCACAAACUGCGUUGAUCACAUCCCCAGAAGCCACAUAUGUACAGUCAAGUACUGUCAGGAACAGAGGUGUAUGCUUAUAGUCCGAGCUACUUGGAAAUCCGAAGCAGGAGGAUCCCUUGCUAGCUGUCAGACGACGCAUCAAGACCUUGCCUCCAAAAGAAAAAGAGAAAGGGGAAGGGAGGGGUCCAAGAGGAAGAGGAAGGGUCUACCUGAUCCAGGCCCGCCUCCAGGAUGUGUUUUCUCCAACCCCACUUUCUCAGUCAGCAGCCACACUGGCCUCCUGGCCUCCAAACACCAGGCACUCUCCUGCCUCUGGACUUCGCAUGGACUACUUCUCUUGCUUGGAUCACUUUGUCCUAGAGAGAGCCACGUAGACCUCCUCUCUCCAUUUCCUUCAGACCUCUUGGACUCCUUUUGCCCACAGCUCUUUUCUGUCACCCUCAUGGACUCAUCCCCUCAGCGCUCACACCCAUGCCCAACGUCUGACUUCACUGUUCUCUAUAGCACACGUAUAUAAGCUUUUUGUAUACUUCUCUCUCUUCUUGAAAGCUGGGAAGUCUUGGGAUGGGGGAAGAUGCCAAUUCCUGUGUUUGGGAUUGUGUCUCCAACACCUAGAACCUUCCUGGCACAUAGUGCAUGCACAGUAGAUGUUUGUGAAAACAAGUGAACGAGGCAGUACAGAGGAGUCUCUAUGCGUGCCAUGGGAUGGGUGGGGAGUGCACCUUCCGAUCAUCUUUGCUGUCUAAGAAAUGUAUUUUCACCCCACCCCCUCUAAUUUUCCACUAAGAAUUAAACCCAAGGCCUUCUACAUGCUUACCAUGCACUGUAACUCCAGGCUACAACUCUCCCUUUGCCUCUGUUUCCAAAUAAAGACCACCCAGUUCCUGUUUCCUCUUCAGAUUGGAUGUGCACAUAAAGCAGAAUCAGCCAGACUGGGCAGAAUCCCAUAUAGGGCCCUUCCUGCAGAGUGUCACAGCCUAAGGUUAAGGUGUCCCUCUGAAAUUGGAAGGGUGAGCCUUACCCAGCCCUGUGUCCACAAGUCGUUAUCCUGGAGCUCUCAGUUCUGAGAACAUGGGUCAUCCGGACCAUGAUGGCCACACAUUUUCCCUUUUGCAGCCUGGAUUUGAAGUCAGUAGGACCCUGGGCUGGAAACCUCAGGGUACAGGCUGCAGGGUGCAGGCGGCAGGAAGGGAGCCUGGUGCUUGUCUUUCAUCUCAGCACUGGUGCUAGCAGUUCAUGAGCCUCCAAGCCCUGAAGCUCGAUGCACUUGCUCUCGCUCUGCCUGGGGGCAACAAAUGCCCAGGGCCAGGAACGAGGCAGGGGUCAUUGGUAACCCUGGGCUUCCAGGGCUUAUUGGGCAAUUUCCAGGGGUGCACACCUCUACCACUCAUUUCUCUUGGCUUUCAUAGCUCCCAUCUCACAUCAUAAAAAGAGGUGAAAAAAGAAAAAAUAUCACAACCAUUCAAAUAUCUCAACUGGCUUUACUUUCAAUCCGUGGUCUGCCAUCCCAUGAGGUAUACUGGGUGUCCAGCAGGCGAGGCAGAGACAGUGUGUUGUGUUGACAGAGAAGAACUGAAGAAAGCAGAGAGUGGUCAAAGGGCGGAUUCUCAUUUCAAAAUCACUUUUCUUAUAAAGACAGGAAUAGAGAACAAUGGGUAAGCCACAGCGUCUCAGCCCGAGCCCCUCCAGCUCCCUGUUCUGGGAGGGUGGAUGGAGAAGCUUCAUCACCAGCUCCACUGAGAACGGCCCGGGGUGGGACACAGGGUUGCUCUGUCUCUGUUCCUCUGAAGAUGAGAUCGGCAACCCAGUUUCAUCUUUGCGAUGUGGGCUUUAGCGUGAAUAACUCCAUCAAAGCUAUUUGUGUCUAGGUUUGGGGCUGUGCACAUGUGCACUCACAUGUGUGAGUUAUGCAUAUAUGUACAAGUCUGUGUGUCCAGGCCCCGAGGAUAACUUUUGUUAUCUUUAGCAGCAGCAGCCACCUCCUUUGAGAUACAGUCCUUCAUUGGCCUGGAAUUUAUGGAUUAGGGUAGACUGGCUGGCCAGCAAGCCCAAGGAAUUUUCCCGUCUCUAUCUCCCAAGCCCUGACAUUACAAACACAUACAGUACACACCACAAUACUUGGCAUUUUUAGGGGUUCUAGAAACCAAACUAAUGUCUUUGUGCUUGUGAAGCAAACACUCUAUAGACUGAGCCAUCCUUCCAGUUCCUCGGGUUUUUAGUUUGUCUACUGUGCCCAGUCAAAAAGAAUGGCCUUCUAUGACAUUUAUAUAAUAUAAGAAACAAUCUCGGGCUAAGGAUAGAGGUGGGUAGAUAGUAGUGGGUCACUUGCCUGGCCCAAAAUGCCCUGGAUUCCAGCACCAUGAGAAACUAAAUAAAUAGUAAACUAAUUUGGUUGGAAGUGGAUUUUUUUAGGACCCUCUUCCAUUAUUAGGGCCUAGCAUGGAGUCACCAAAUCCUUUCACUGUCGAGUCAGGGGCCUCUAAAGAACCUCGAAAACUCCUGCUUCCUGUACCUGUAUCUCCUCCCAUCUUAUUCAUCCACCACUCCCGCAUCCCACACUUCUUUCAGUUGUCACUUACAGGAGAUCUACGGGGGCAUCCUGUAUCCACUGCCAGAGCUGAGGGGCAUCCACCAGGCAAAGACCUUGCACUCAUAAGGUCAUGAUGCCUGUUCAGAUCAUAAGAAUGCAAAGCAAAACUGAAGCAGGGAGUCCUGGACAGCAUUGAAAAGGGUCAAGGGAAGGAGAGAACCAGAGGCCAGCGUUCUGGGUGCUGUGGAUAACACUGUGGAUGCAUAUGAGCUGUUAACACUCUGCAGGAUUAGCCCAAAAACAUAGAUACACACAAGGCAAGAGAGCUUGAGCAACAAGAGGAGAAGUGGGCAGGAGGUGAAAGUCAGGACCAACUUCAGGAGGUUGACAGAGUGAUGCUUCCCCAGGGGCCCUGAAUUCCUCCAUCUUCAUGCACUUCUGCUCCAGGGUGCUCUGAGAGAAUUGCAUGAGGUGGAUCAGUCCCAGUUAGCUCCAGUCAUAUGCUCACGCAAACUGGCUAACACCAAAGCAUGCUAACAUUGUUAAUGCUGGGGGGUGUAACCCUGGGCAUUAUAUAUGCUAAGCACAUACACCUUCAUUGAGCUACACUUGUGCAUGGGAACCCAUUAGCUCACUAUAGUCCCACAUCAAUCUUAAAACACCGUGCCCCUUUUCUGAGGACCUGAAUGUUUCCACAAAUCCUGUUCCUACUCUCACUCAAGACCUUCACAGUUUUGUCCUGGGGAUGUCCUGGGGAUGUCCUUAUACAGAAGCCUGGAUCCAUCCAUUUUUUUCUCUAAGUUAAAUGUUCUAACAUCUACUGUACCCCAUUCCACCACCUGUCCCCCAAGUGAUCUUGAACCAACUAUACCGUUCAUCCUGUCAGGUAGACUCUUCUUGAAGAUUUGUUUUUGCAGCAAGUACCAAGGUUCCUGGGCUCCUCUAUGACAAGAGACCACAAAAGAAAAGGAAUGGAAUUUUGGCAGAUCUGAGCUAUCAGUUGUGUGCAGAAGUUGCAAGUGGCUUGAGAAGGACCCAGAUAAGCAGCAGAACACUCAGGGAAACCUUCAGGCUUUUGGCUGAAAGUCGUGGAGAAGAAGUGCACCAAAGGCCUUUUCUAGAUGAAGGUGUGGUGUGACUACCUCGCACCUAGCGAUGGUGGCAGAAACAUGUUUGUAGGUGAAAGUGCAUGCAGUGAAAGGAUUGGAGCAAAGUUUGUAAACAGGAACAACAAACAAACAACAGCGAAGCAGAGCCGUCUGUUCAGGACGCUGAGACCGAAGGACCGUUUAAGUCUGGGAGCUGAAGCCCAGCUGGAGUUCACAGCGAGGCUCGAACAAGAAAACCUAAGAGUGGCCAGAUAUGGUGCCCACACCUUUAAUCCUAACAUGUGAGGGGCGGAAACAGAAGCGGACAGAUCUCUGUGAGUUUGAGCUCAGCCGGGUCUACAUAUCAAGUUCCAGGCUAGCCAGAGACACACAGUAAGUUCCUGCCUCAAAACAGCAAUAGCGGGGCUGGGGAUUUAGCUCAGUGGUAGAGCACUUGCCUAGGAAGUGCAAGGCCCUGGGUUCGAUCCCCAGCUCCGGAAAAACAAAAACAAACAAACAAAAAAAAAAACAGCGAUAGCAACAACAACAACGAAAGAGUAGGUGUAAUGGGGAAAGAGCAAAUAAGGAUAAUAAGGUAGAAAAUAUAAAAUAGGAUUAAGGGACAUAUUCUAACUCUAUCCUAGUAAUAACUUUGAGCUAAAUAACCCCCCCCAUCAAAUUAUAAUAUAUAGCAGAGUCAAAAAGAUACAAACUUUGGAAAAGAGGACACAGAGACAGAAUGUGGGAUGGACACACACACACACACACACACACACACAUUUAGAGUUUCUAGAAAAGAGAACACAGAGAGGUUGAAAGCUGCAAAAUUUCUGCUAUCAAUGAAGGACUUCAAAAAUCAUGGACUCAAGCAGGUUAAAUACAUUGAAAACCAUCACUUACAACAACCUAGCUUUGUUGUUGCUAUGGUAACAAUAGAUCCACUGCACAACACAGUAACUCUGGAUAACAAACACUAUCUGGUUCUUGAAAUGACCACUGGUAGAUCUUUUCUUGUUACUGUGGUCAAUGCCUGUAAAAAAAGAAAAAGGAAAAGAAAAAAAAGAAAAGAAAAAGGUUUGUUUUUGGCUCAGUUUGAGGGCAAGGUCCAUCACAGCAGGGAAAGCUGACAGCAGGGUGUGAAGCAGCAAUCACAUUUUGUCUGCAGUUGGGAGAGAGAGGUCAGUGCUAGCAAGAAACUCACUUUCUCCAUUCCAACAAAGAGUAGAGAGUCUUUGUUGGAAGGGAAUGAAAGAGAAAUCCUGAAAUGUCGAUAUAAAGCCAAACAAAAUCUUCGAAGGGUGAUGGACCGCACUUGGAAACCAAGACAUUUCAAAGCUUGUGUGGAGAUCAGAGAUCAGAGAGAAAACAAGGCUGGUGGUGUUGAGGGCGACUGGGAGGGCUGGAUAGAAAAGUACAGAAAAAUUCUCUAAUGCAAAAAUAUAUGGCUUUACAAUGGACACCGAGUCAGAGUAGAUGCACAUUUACUAGACCUGCCAGUAGGUGGCACCAGUGUGCCAUUUGUGAUAAACGGGGUUCUAAAGUCUUUUCCCCUACAUGAAACUUGUUAGCUUGAAACCAGUAAACCCCAUAGAAACCUGAGGAUAUCUGUUUCUUCAGCCAAGGCUAAGGCACUUGAGAGGAGCUGCCCUCCAGACCAGAUUGUUCUGCCUGUUUGUCAGAAGUAUGGUUUUCUGUUCUGUCAACAAAGUAACAAAGGUGGGAACUAAAGUAAGGAAACCGGAAGGCUCAGGAUCUCCAGCCUGAAUCUGUAGAACCUUAAGCGUUUCAGGAACCCAUAAAGAAAAGCCAUAGGUAAUCUGAGAGCAGGAUAAAACCUCGGAGUUCUCCAGUGACCUAACUUCAGCAGCGUUCAAGGGUUCUCCUAAAGGUGAUCCCGUUAGCCUCUUAGCCAGCUUAUCACAAUGACAAAAACAAAACAAAACAAAAAAACCCUGAGUCCAUCAACAUAUGGGAAGGGUUUAAUUUGACCUAGAAUUCAAAGUUUUCACUGCAGAGUUGCUAGCCUCCCGGUGCUGAGCCUGAGUACAGUGCCACGGAGCUUGGCCAAUUCAUAGUGGUUGGGAAGAAAGGAAGGUCAGGAACCUAAUAGCCCUUCAAGGACACAAUUCCAGUGACCUAAGUCCCUUCCACCGGACCCUGCCUCUCAAAGUCUCUGUCACUUCCCAAUGUGCCACUGGCUGGCAGGAGCUUUUAUGCAUGGCCUUUGGGGGACAUACAAAACCCACCCUUAACUGAUCCCCCACCAGAACAGGAUAUGCAGCAGUCUGGGCACUCUUAUAGAAUCAGCCAGUAGUAAGAGCCUCAGAGAGCAGACAUUUAAGUUGGAGAACAGGAAGAACAUUUCACAAUAGCUGGAUGAGAAUGGGGAAGGUGGCUGUCUGAUGGGACACUGGGACAAUUUUUUAUUGUCUAUAGAGGGGAAAAUGAAACUGGGCCUCAACAUUUUGGCUCAGAGGAAAACACUUUCAGGUAGAUUAAAGGUAUAAGGGUGAGAGACAAACCCAUGAAGACUUUCGACACUUUGGCUUACAUGAGACUCACCACAGUCUCUUGAUUUUAUUUAGAAAUUAGUGGGCUUUUCAGCUUGAUUGGGUAAGUUCUCCUCCUCCCUGUCUUUUUUUUUUAAGAUUUAUUUAUUUUAUGCAUGUGUGUACACUGUCACUGUCUUCAGACACACCAGAAGAGCAUCCCAUUACAGAUGGUUGUGAGCCACCAUGUGGUUGCUGGGAAUUGAACUCAAGACCUCUGGAAGAGCAGUCAGUGCUCUUAACCUCUGAGCCACCUCUACAGCCCUCCCUGCUUUUUUUAUUUGUGGUCUGCCUUCUUUCUCCAUACCAUUUUGUUCCCUAUCCAUAGAUUGAUCCACUCAACCAUAAAUCAGAAUAUAGGUAAGUGAACAUGCAUUUGUUCUCCCUUGUUUCCUAAAUAACACACCCUGCAGCCAUUCACCUGGCAGGUACACCAUGUUAGAUGUGGUAAGUCAUCUAGAAGGGACUGAGCCAUGUGGGAGGAUAUAUGCCAGGUCUACAAGGACACUGUGUCAGUUACUUUUUUUGUUCCUGUGAGAAGCCACCCUUGAGCUCCCAAUCCUUCUCCAUCAUCCUCCUGGCUGUCAGAUAUAUCACCGUGCACCAUCACACCUGGUUACGAGCUGAGUAAUUUAUGGAGUGCUUUUCCUCUGUGGGUACCUAUGUACAUGUGUGGUGUGAGUUUGUGUCUAUGCGCUCACACGUGUGUGGGUGCACCUGUAAGGAGGGUUCCCAUGCAUGUAUGUAUGUGUGUGUAUGCACAGACCUAAAAUUAAUGUUGGGCAUCUUUGUCUAUUGCUUCCCACUUAUUUUCUGAGGCAGAGCCUCUCACUGAAGUUACAGCUCACCAAUUAUGGCUACUCUAACAAGCCAGCUUGCCCUGGGGAUCCCGUUUUGGCCUCCUAAGUGCCAGAUGACAGGCAGACCCCCAUGCCUACCUAGCACUUUUUUUUUCCGGAGCUGAGGACCGAACCCAGGGCCUUGAGCUUGCUAGGCAAGCGCUCUACCACUGAGCUAAAUCUCCAACCCCGCCUACCUAGCAUUUACAUGGACUUUGGGGACCCAAACUCCAGACCUCAUGCUUGCACAGCCAACAUUUUAUUCAUUAAGCAAUUUCACCAGCUCCUGUUUAGUAUUUUCAAUAUCAAUACAAACUUAUCUUAUAGUUUGAGAUACUAAUAAAUGUAUAACCAAUUUCCUUCAUAACAUUAAAAUACCUUAGCAUUACCAGGUUAUAUAUAAUAUCAAAAUACUUUUGUGUGCUUGGAGUAGACCUGCAUGCAAAGAACAUGUCUAUAUUCUGUAUUCUGUAUCCUGUUGGGCUGUAAAUAUUGAUAAUUAUGUGCAAAUUUCACAUUUCCAUUUAUGGAGCUAAAUAGAGCCGGAAGGUGCAUUGUGUUAACUUUUGGGGGUUCUAGAGUUAUGAUGAUGUGUUAGAAAUCUUUCUACUUUAUUUUUCUGUGUACAAGAGCAAUUUCCAUACCUUUAAAAUGUUUUGUUUAACUUUUAAGAAUUUGCAGUGGCUGAACCAUCGACCCACAGACAGUGUUUUAUGGAGUCCUUGCUUAAUGAUCUUAAUAUUUCGCACUUUUGCUGACUUGAUGUUAGUAGCGUGCGUUUCCUCAGAAAAUGUACCGUAUGUAGAUUUUUCCCUAAUAAAAGCGGUAUGGGUUUGAAUUUUGUUGUUAUUUUAUUUUAUUUAUGUAUGGGGGUAUUCGUUCUGCAUACACGUCUGUGUAAUUCACAUUCCUAAUUCCCACAAAACCUGAAAGAGGACAUUGUGUCGCCCACAACUGGAGUUCCAGCUUGCACGUGAGUGCUGAGUAUGACCCCAGUCCCCUGCCAGAGCAAUGAGUGUUCUUAGCCACCUGCUCCCCAGCCCCCCCCUUUUUUUUAUGAGUUUUAAAACAAAUUAAUAAACAUAUUGGUCAUUUUAGUUGCAAAUAGUGACUUUAUUUUUAUUUGUUAUUUUUUUUAAACAAGAUCUCAUGGCCAGGCCUUUAAUCUCAGCACUUAAGAAGCAGAGGCAAAGCAGAGGCCUGCCUGGUACGUUUUGAGUUCUAAGCCAGCCAGAGCUAUAUAGUGAGACCCUGUCUUGGGUUUAAAAAAAAAAACAGGGGUUGGGGAUUUAGCUCAGUGGUAGAGCGCUUGCCUAGGAAGCGCAAGGCCCUGGGUUCAGUCCCCAGCUCCGAAAAAAAGAACCAAAAAAAAAACAAAAAACAAAAAAGCCUCACUCUGUAGCAAAGGCUAACCUAGAACCUGAGAUCCUCUGGCCCAGCCUCCAGAUACCACCACACUGGGCUCUAGUGUUUUUCUUACACAUUUAACCUAGCUUUAGCUGGGGGAUCACAAUGACACAUAACUGUGGUCCAGCUACUGAGGAAGUUGAGGCAGAGGGAUCAUAGCAAAAGUCUGUGUCAAGGAAAAAAGAAAACUAUUGAUACAUAUAUACACGUAGGAAUGUAUACAUUCAAAUAUAUGGUUUUCCUCUUCUCUCAUGCCAUUUUUCAAUUAUUAAGUUAUUUAUUUACUUUAUCUCCUGAUCGAAGCUUCUCCCUUUCCCCCAGUUCUUCUCUUUCCCCUCCCCUCCCUAUCAUCCAUCCCUCCCCCACUACCCUUCUCCUCAGAAAAGGGGAAACCUCACAUGGGUAUCAGUCAGCCUCGGCAUGUCAAGCUGCAGUGAGACUAGGUGCAGUUAGGGGAGAGGGAGGCGAAGGGAGGCACUGAGAUCAGACACAGCCCCUGCUCCCACUUUAGAAGUCCCACAUGAAGACCCAGCGGCACAAGUGACAUAUGUCUCAUACCAUUUUUGAUAUCUCCUUUUUCCUUAUAACAUUUCAGAGACUUUUGUCCAUGGUUCACAUGACUAUUCAGAACCAGUUGUCGAAUGUUAUUUAUUUCAUUUUCAGUGUACUUUAAACAUCUUUAUUUCUCCUUGUAUCUUUCCCCGCAAGGGUUUCUCUCCCUUAGUAACAUUUCGCCAUCAUCUCACAGGGUUAAUACUUCACUAAUAUAGAGUGUAACACUACAGAACUAGCAUGGGAUAAAAACAGACUAAAGGAAGAGACUGCCCAUUUUCUUAUCUAGAGAGACUGGGGGUGGAGGUGGGGGCAGCCCAACCUGAUGUGUUCCUGAGAUAACCUGCAGAGGAAGCUGCAUAAAACUGACAACGCUUCUUCAGACUCUGAGCUCCAAAAGCUGGCUCAGCCAGGGCUCCUGCUCCAGACACUACAUAGACCCUGCGCUGAGUCCUGCAGCCUGAAAGACAUCGUGCUCUGCACGUUUCCAGACUUAAAAGGGACAUGAAGGGAGAGUCUAUUGAGCGGCCAGUUGUGCUUUGGAGUGUCCCGAGUCAAUGGAUACUCGGGGUGAAGAAGAACAUGAGAAAUGGCCACCGAGACUUGCGGCAGAUACGAAACAUUCUUGACAGGAUUUCUCGCCAGUCACGUGAUGCUGUUUCUGCAGGAAAUGCCCUCGCGGAAUAAAUUUUACUUGCAUUUUG